AUAUGACUACAGCAAAAUAUAAGUAAUUAAAUAUUUUUUAAACGUAUAUUUUUUUCUCAAUAACUACAAAGUACACUACAAAUAAAAUAAAAUUUUGAUCUCCCCAAUUCACCAACUGAAUCAAAUUUGCUUUCAGAAAAGAUGUUUCACUCGAUUAUCGGAGUAAGAUUUCUGGUAGAAAAUUUCUCCACCAAUACAAACAAAAUAAUAAAUAAUAAGUAAAUCCAAUCUUUGCUCUAUCUAAGAAUUUGAAUUGGAGGUCGAUCAGGUACCGCCACAUCCGUUUUUUUCUCAAACAACAAUGUAAGGAGUACGGCUUCAUACUAAUGUGAGACAUAUACGAGUAGAUAAUCAAGGAAAAAUAAGACGAAUGAGAGAAUAUGAUGUGUUGACGUUCUAAAAACGUGUUGUUGGAGAAAGGUGCAGAGAGCAAGCUGGACUGAAAGAAGAACAAUCGAGGACGUCUCAGAGACAGUAGAAGAAAACCGAACAUAAAUAGCACAGCUUAAUCAAGCAGAUCAAGAGAGUGACCGAGAACGAGAUACAUCAACCAAUCAAUGAAGGACGCUGGAGUUACUUCUUGCGAGGAGCUCAAGGAUAUGGCACAAAACAUGGAAAUACGGAUAAAUUGUAAAUAAAUUCGUUAUAAGUCGAUGUUCGGGCUGAAAAUAAAUAAACGGAUUUACCCGGUCAAAUACGCGUUUUUCAUUGCGCUACACGACAAUGAUACCUAUGAUAUGGCGUUUAUGUGCAUCAUUAUUGAUCUUAAAAUUCGACUUUGUGGCACGAUUAAGUUCCACAUUUUUGUAAAAAAAAAAAAUAAUAAUAAUAAUUCCUAUA